ACUCAACGCUAAUAAAUUAAAAAGAGUGAGUCUAGAUCCUAGAGCGUGCCUUUUUUUAAGGAUUAUCGAAUAUUUAGUUAGCUCUAAACUUGUAUAAAUGGAGUUU
rnacentral:sRNA from 10 species